rnacentral:rRNA from 1 species
CCAUGCAUGUCUAAGUAUAAACGAUUUAAUCGUGAAACCGCGAAUGGCUCAUUAUAACAGCUAUAAUUUACUUGAUCUUGACACAAUCCUACUUGGAUAACUGUGGUAAUUCUAGAGCUAAUACAUGCAUUAAAGCUCUGACCUCACGGGAAGAGUGCAUUUAUUAGAACAAAACCAAGCGGCUUCGGCUGUUUCUGGUUGACUCAUAGUAACUGAGCUGAUCGCAUGGUCUUGCACCGGCGACGUGUCUUUCAAGUAUCUGCCGUAUCAACUUUCGAUGGUAGUGUAUCUGACUACCAUGGUGAUCACGCGUAACGGAGAAUAAGGGUUCGGCUCCGGAGAGUUCGCCUGAGAAAUCGCGAACACAUCUAAGGAAGGCAGCAGGCGCGAAAAUUACCCACUCUCAGCACGAGGAGGUAGUGACGAAAAAUAACGAGACCGUUCUCUUAUGAGGCCGGUCAUCGGAAUGGGUACAAUUUAAACCCUUAAC